UGGUUAUACGCAGUUUUACGUUCGAAGAUCACUACUGAACAAACAGCAUCUCAAGUGGCCCCGUCUGUCCCUCUGGGCUUUACGAGACUCCCUACGAACCUGACCUUGGGCAGCAAUUCGAAUGGAACCAAUUCAGUCCUCAAGCCAUGGACUACUCCGUACAAGGUCACGGGCAGAGCACCAUGCGAGUUGUUGAUGGGAAGGAUGUUCAAGACGCCGUUGGAUGUCCUGCGUCCUAGCCUCCAAUCCUCAGUGCUGCUCAAGCAGCUAAAACAAAAAUUAUACUGAUAAAGGCUGCCGACAGGGACCACCGCUCAACCCUGAGGAGAACGUGUUCGCCAGGAACUUUCGCCAGGGUAUGCCCUGGGUGCCUGCUCGAGUCGUCGGCGCCUCAAGUCAAUCUCUUGUGCAAGUCCGCCUUGAAGAUGGCACACUGUGGCAUCGGCACGGUGAUCACUUGCGUUUCAGACUGAAUGACGCCACCACAGCAGCUACGGCCGAGGCAGAGACGUGUCAACCUGUUGGUGCUGCAGUGCAGUUGGAACCGGAAGUGUUAAAUAAGAGUCAAUCUGCUGGUGCUCCCGGCGCUCUGUUCGAGCCAGGCAAAACAAGCGUGGAUGCAAGCGACAGUGUCGCAAGCACUGAGGUGAUGGAGCCACAUUGUUGGGGGAGACCAGCUGCCCACUAAAAGUCGCCGAAAAUGUCUGGUUCGGAUGCU
rnacentral:misc_RNA from 1 species